AUGGAGAACGGCGGCGAGGCGAAGUGGCGCUUCGGGGCGGGGAACCCGGCGGUCCAGGCGAGUGGCCGGCAGAGCCUCCGCGCCCUCGUCACCCGCGUGUUUGACUGCGUCGACAGGAACGACCCGCGGCCGGUCGCGCCGCUCGGCCACGGCGACCCCUCCGCAUUCGCGUGCUUCCGCACGGCGGCUGCCGACGAGGAAGCCGUCUCCGCCGCCGCCCUGUCAGGCAAGCACAACAGAUACUCCUCCGCCGGAGGCGUGCUGGAGGCGCGCAGCGCCGUCGCCGCGUACCUGUCCAGGGAGCUCCCCUACGAGCUCUCGACGGGGGACGUGGUCGUCACGGCCGGCUGCAACCACGCCAUCGAGAUCAUGAUGGCCGUGCUGGCGUCGCCGGGCGCCAACGUGCUGCUGCCGAGGCCGGGGUACCCGAUGUACGAGUCUCGCGCCGCGCUGUGCGGCCUCGAGUUCCGGCGCUUCGACCUCCUGCCGGAGAAGGAGUGGGAGGUGGACCUCGACGGCGUGGAGGCCCUCGCCGACGAGAACACCGUCGCCAUGGUCAUCGUCAACCCCAACAACCCAUGCGGGUGCGUCUACUCCUACGACCACUUGGCCAAGAUUGCAGAGACGGCGAGGAAGCUUGGAAUCAUGGUGAUCAGCGACGAAGUGUACGACCACUGCGCGUUCGGGAGCAAGCCGUUCGUGCCGAUGGGCGUGUUCGGGGAGAUAGCUCCGGUGGUGACCAUCGGCGGCAUCUCCAAGCGGUGGAUGGUGCCCGGCUGGCGCCUUGGCUGGAUCGCAGCCACCGAUCCCAAGGGGGUCCUCCGGGACAAGAACGUCCUAGAGUCGAUCAUGAGCUACUGCGCCAUCUCGGUGGACGCCGUGACGUUCGUGCAGGGAGCUCUGCCGCAGAUCAUCGCCAACACGGACAAGGCCUUCUUCGAGAAGGCCAUGGACGUGAUGAGGGAGGCGGCGGAGAUAUGCUACCGGAAGGUGGGCGGCAUCGAGUGCAUCACCUGCCCUCACAAGCCGGAGGGGUCCAUGUUCGUCAUGGUGAAGCUGGACCUCUCCUGCUUGGACGGCAUCGCCGACGACGUCGACUUCUGCACCCAGGUCGCCCGCGAGGAGUCCGUUGUCAUUUGCCCAGGGAGUGGACUAGGAAUGAAGAACUGGCUCCGAAUUACGUUUGCUGUCGAUCCAGGCCUUCUCGAGGAUGGCAUGGAGAGGGUCAAGUCUUUCUGCCAAAGGCAUGGCAAAGCCAAGGAGUUGAAGUGA
rnacentral:rRNA from 1 species